rnacentral:rRNA from 1 species
AGUGAACGCUGGCGGUAGGCCUAACACAUGCAAGUCGAACGGCAGCACAGUAAGAGCUUGCUCUUACGGGUGGCGAGUGGCGGACGGGUGAGGAAUACAUCGGAAUCUACUUUUUCGUGGGGGAUAACGUAGGGAAACUUACGCUAAUACCGCAUACGACCUACGGGUUAAAGCAGGGGAUCUUCGCACCUUGCGCGAUUGAAUGAGCCGAUGUCGGAUUAGAUAGUUGGCGGGGUAAAGGCCCACCAUAGCGACGAUCCGUAGCUGGUCUGAGAGGAUGAUCAGCCACACUGGAACUGAGACACGGGCCAGAGUCCUACGGGAGGCAGAGGUGGGGAAUAUCGGACAAUGGGCGCAAGCCUGAGCCAGCCAUACCGCGUGGGUGAAGAAGGCCUUCGGGUUGUAAAGCCCUUUUGUUGGGAAAGAAAAGCAGCAGGUUAAUACCCCGCUGUUCUGACGGUACCCAAAGAAUAAGGACCGGCUAACUUCGUG